GUAUCCAUAGUGUGGACAUUGUAAUAAAAGUGAUUUGAAGCGAUCCCAUGUUUCGUGAAAGGAUUCAGUAUCCUUUUGAUAAAAGUUGGAAACCUCAGCAUUUAAUUC
rfam:Ricinus communis cultivar Hale ctg_1100012359306, whole genome shotgun sequence.